rfam:Caldicellulosiruptor saccharolyticus DSM 8903, complete genome.
GGGCCUUUAGCUCAGCUGGUAGAGCGGCCGGCUCAUAACCGGUUGGUCUGGGGUUCGAAUCCCUAAGGGCCCA